AAGAACACUCUUCUUCUUUGUUGAAGCAAGCUCACUUCUCACCACAUACCUUCGCCUCCGCCGUUAUCUUCUUCCACCGACCGCCUUCAUCAAACUCACCACCUCCAAAUUCAUGCCAUCACGACUCAUUUUCCACCACCAUUUUCUUCUUCAAACUUCCAUUCCCUUCAUCGUCGAUCUAACAUCGACAUACCAACCAUCUUCU
rnacentral:lncRNA from 1 species